rnacentral:lncRNA from 1 species
UUUUAAAGGAAAUAUUAGGUUAAAAAUUCGGUAAAUAAAAAAGAUUAGGUAAAUAAAAGCACGGGUGGUACAGGAAUAUGGCAAAAACCGAGAGAUUGGUAUGAAAAUGACUGAUGCUGGAAAACCCUCCCUGACCUACCAAGACACCCCUAACAACUAGAAGACCUUCCUCACAGGGAGCUGAAUUUGCCCCAGAUAGCUUCCACCGUCUAAGCUCUGUGUGUUUCUUGGGAGGCAGGGCACAGGUCUGGUCUUCCAUAGGCAGUUUCUUCAAAUACUCAAAGCCCGAAGAGGCCAUGAAAUCCCUCCCCUUUCCCAUACUCAGCCUUUCCAGCUCCUCUGGCAGUCUGCAGCAUGCCAGAUGACCAAACCCUCUCUCCAUUGUCCCUGCCCCACGUUAAUGUUUGACCAGAACAGACUAUCAUCCUACUUUCGGGUUGUACCAGUCAAAUUGUGGGGAUGGAGGCAGCUCCCGCCACCUUAGCAUCCAGGUCACAGCAAAGUUCAAGGAACUUAUGGUAAAGAUCAAUCACACUUAUGGCACUGCCAACAGAAGCACAUGCUUGUGGAAAAUAGCGUAAAAGAAUUUUAAGGAGGAGAGCUGGGCUCUGAAUUACACCGGAGGCAGAGCGUCUGGACAGUUUUCAUCAGAAGCCACGUCCUAGAGGUAGCGAGCUGUAAACAGUCGUUAAAAGCAACGGAGGAAUGUGUUAGGGUGGGCCCAGGAAGGUGUCAGGCCACGGCGGGCACGUGAGGGAAUGGGCACAGCCUUCAUUGUAGGCACAGAAGCUGGAGCCAGCGGGAGGAGGCAAGCGGGCAACCGAACAGAAUGAUGAGAAAAACCGAAGCUCAGGGAACAUUUCCAAGACCAAGAGCUGAGAACGCUGCGGAGCUGAAAUUUAAAUCCAGUUUGUCAGACCCCCCCAAUCCGACAUUGUCCCCUCGUCCUGCCAUGGCCCAUAUCCCAGGAGGACCUGUCACCAUCCUCCACCUUGGUGAGACAUUGCCCAAGUUAAUGGGCCCAACAAUAGGGUCAGACUACAUUGCUGCUCCAUUUCCAAGAAAUUCUCCACGUGCAACAUCACAUUUCCUGUAACUCCAGUGCCUCAGGUCUCGACUCAAAGGUCACCUCUUCAGAGAGGCCCCUCCUAAUGAACUUCCUAAGGUGACCCCAUUCAUUCCUUUUCCCAGGUUCUCUGAGGCCUGUCGCUCUCUUAUAUUGUCUUUGCAGCACUCACCCUGACUUGCUGUUCUCUUAUUCCCACAGCCCAGGCUAUCCUAUGGAUGCACUCCUCCCACCAUCUGCUCUCCCAAGCUCUGCUGAAACCCCCCUGCCUAGAACAAUUUGCUUCGUAGCUGACUUUCCAUAAACAUUCAUACAAUGGAUACAGAAAUGACACAGAGGUCAGCAUCAGAACCCAGGAUCCCCCAAAGCCCUGUUUCUCUCUUUCACAGCCUCUCUCUACCUUAUUCCUAUCACCAAGGGAUUCUUCUCUCUUUCCCUCUUUCUACUAUUUGUUAGAAUGGAAAGCACUGGGCCGGUAAAGCUGUCACUCAGGAUAUGAUUUUUUCUCUGCCACUUUCUGGCUGUGUGCUUUUCUUAAAUCAUGGAACUGCAACUGAAAACGCAUGGAUGACAACACAAGGAUUAUUUUAAAGAUUAAAUGAAAUAACUAGGAUGACUGGGCCUGGCAUAUAUUAAGCAUCAAUUAACAUUAAUUGCUUUGCAUCCUUCUCUUUGUUUCUCUCCUCUCCCAUUGUUCCUUCCUUAUAAAUUAAUUCCCUGCCUUUCUCACAAUCUUUACUCCCUACUCAUAAAGCUUCUGCCAGGGUUGUCAGCAGGAUUUAUGUACUUGAAUUGAACUGAGUUAGGUAGGCAUGAAUGAAAGGCAAGUUAUCUCUUUCUAGGGGGAGAAAAAUUUAAGGCAGAGUGAUGUGAGAAGUGUCGACAAGACCCAGGAAAGCCCAGGGAGAGGGGCUGGGGCUAAGGCGUCUGCCCGCUUGGCAGCAGCUGUGAUGUUCGGAGUACGUGUUCAGACCAGCAGUCCCUGAGAUGCUAUUCCACUUAUUCUGGAGACCACUCUGCUCUUAGCCCCGCUGGGCAGGUAGAUUUGGAAAUGUUUAUUGCAUGAGAUGUGGGAUGGAAGAAAGAAACCUGAAUUGGGAAUGAAGAGGCUUGUUCCACCUUCCCUCAAUCCUGCCAGUAGCCAGCUACAGAGCUUAGGAAAAGUCUGUUUACCUCCCUGGACCUCAGCCUACCCUCUGACAAUUAAAGGGAGAUCACAGUUUUGAAGGCAUCUACCAGCUCUGACGCGCUCUGGCUAAACCAGACCAAAAAUUUUUUUUACAGCCAUUUUUGAAAAGGGAGUGAGAGAAGAG